rnacentral:rRNA from 1 species
AGAGUUUGAUCCUGGCUCAGGACGAACGCUGGCGGCGUGCUUAACACAUGCAAGUCGAACGUGAUUUUUGUGGAAAUUCUUUCGGGAAUGGAAAUGAAAUGAAAGUGGCGAACGGGUGAGUAACACGUGAGCAACCUACCUUACACAGGGGGAUAGCCGUUGGAAACGACGAUUAAUACCGCAUGAGACCACAGUAUCGCAUGAUAUAGGGGUCAAAGAUUUAUCGGUGUAAGAUGGGCUCGCGUCUGAUUAGCUAGUUGGAAGGGUAAAGGCCUACCAAGGCGACGAUCAGUAGCCGGUCUGAGAGGAUGAACGGCCACAUUGGAACUGAGACACGGUCCAAACUCCUACGGGAGGCAGCAGUGGGGAAUAUUGCACAAUGGGGGGAACCCUGAUGCAGCGACGCCGCGUGAGCGAAGAAGGUUUUCGAAUCGUAAAGCUCUGUCCUAUGAGAAGAUAAUGACGGUAUCAUAGGAGGAAGCCCCGGCUAAAUACGUGCCAGCAGCCGCGGUAAUACGUAUGGGGCGAGCGUUGUCCGGAAUUAUUGGGCGUAAAGGGUACGUAGGCGGCCUAUUAAGUCAGGUGUGAAAGCGUGAGGCUUAACCUCAUUAAGCACUUGAAACUGGAAGGCUUGAGUGAAGGAGAGGAAAGUGGAAUUCCUAGUGUAGCGGUGAAAUGCGUAGAUAUUAGGAGGAAUACCGGUGGCGAAGGCGACUUUCUGGACUUUUACUGACGCUCAGGUACGAAAGCGUGGGGAGCAAACAGGAUUAGAUACCCUGGUAGUCCACGCCGUAAAC